AUUUCAUUUUAUUUGAAUUGUGCGUUUUGAACAGUGCAGUUAUAUCAGUUGCCGACAAUUCAUGUCCAGAUUGUACUAUACUACAAUAAUAUCCAUCGGUUAAGUAUGGCGUAUAGCUGCUUUCAAACUGAAUGAUCGGAAUCAACUGCUUGCAUGGGAAACUUUCGCAUUUGACGUGAUAUCUUCACGAAACUUGACAUGGAUUACUGCUUAAGGAAAGUUCAGUAACUAAUAAUGGCCACGAAUUGUACGCAAAGACCUGCUCUACAAAUUAAUUCCAUUGAGCAGAACCGCUUGAUGGAAAAAUGAAUGACGAAGAAUUUGCUUCUUCGACGAACAGUCUCUGACCGAUGUGACAUUUAAAAUUUCAAGCCCAACGGCUCUUGUACCCGCGCAUCGUUUGAUACUCGCAGCAGCGGGUCCCUUCUUCGAGAACCUUUCCAAUGGCGUUCAAGGCAAUAAUCCCGUCAUCGAGAUAAAUGAUAUCGAUAGCGAUAUGUUUUUGCGUCCAAAACCAUUUGUUACUACGGUCAUGCCUUGAAAAGUUGUAUGGAAGCAUAAGCACCCUGUAAAGUGUAUUCAUCGAUAUGUGCCAUGAGAAGUUCACAUUACGUUUCGUGCUCCAACGUAUCGGCACCCUGUAAAGUGUAUUCAUCGAUAUGUGUAAUGAUGUAGUCCACACAACUGUUUAUAGCAUCGUCAAUUUGCAAAACGAUUGCUGCCAUGGCGAAGACAUUGUCAAGACAAUAAUCCUGUCUUAGAGAUAAGUGAUGUAGAUAGCGAUAUUUCUGCGUCUAAUAACCUUUUGUUACACCGGACAGACCGUCAUUACCGUUAACAAUAUCGGUGCCGUGCUGAAGGCAGCAAUCGUUUUGCAAUUGGACGAUGCCAUAACCAGUUGUGUGGACUACCUUAUGACACAUAUCAAUGAAUACACUUUACAGGGUGCUUAUACGCUGGAGCGUGAAACACAAUAUGAACUUCUUAAGCAGAAAAUUAUUGAAUACGAAACAGAGAAUUUCAUGGAGGUGAGUAUAAAUAUACACGUAUUGUCUAACAAUAGCGUUUUUAUUUCUGAUAAUACUAGUCAGCCAAAGCCAUGAGUUUCCAAAUUUCGAUGUUGAAAAAUGCAACGUAUUCCGGAAUCUGACAAUUUGAAUAUAUGUAACUCGUGAGGAAGAUGAUUUCGAUGCCAUUAACCGUUGGUUCGAUUACAAUGUUCUUGAGCGUCAUGGACAACUGCCACUUUUAAUAGCUUGUCGCCAGCUUACCCAAGUCGAAGUGAACUUUCUGUUGACACACAUACAUACACUACCAGGUUGAGAGCUGCUGGCCUUUAAAGCGUUAUUGGAUCAGAAAGCCUGCACCGCGAUCAAAAAUAAAUAUGCGAUUUACAGAACCACGUGGGAUCGGUGCUGCUUAUUCUGAUGAAAAAACAUUGCUGGCGGUUUGCUCAGAGGAAACAGAGAUGAAUCCCAAGCUGCUGCAAUAUAACAAAGCUGAGGAUAAGUGGCAAGAAUACGCGAGUAUAGAAAUCGAUUAGCAAUGAUAUACGACUUCCGAGUUCGUAUGGGAGUUCGUAACAACAAACCACAUGGUGCAAGAUAUAUUAAGUUGAUUUUUGCCUAUCGCUUGAUGUCAAUCUAAAUAUUCUUAACGAAAUUUCGCAGAUUUGCUCUUUGGAAGCUUACGGUGGUUUUAUAGCUUGCGUAUUGCUGGAUAAUAAACUAUGGGCUAUUACUGCAAAUUCUUUCCUAGGAAGACAUAUGAAUCAGUAUAUGACGAGGAAAAUGACCGUUGGGGACAAAAGUGCUCACUACCCGAAAGAAGUAUUCAUUCCUGUUUUGUUGCGCCUUAAGACGUCGAAAUGAAAGAUCAAUAUUAAUAAAUGGAUAUUUUGUAAUAAAAGCUCUUAUAAAAAAUA